AAAAUGACUCUCGGCAACGGAUAUCUCGGCUCUCGCAUCGAUGAAGAACGUAGCGAAAUGCGAUACUUGGUGUGAAUUGCAGAAUCCCGUGAACCAUCGAGUUUUUGAACGCAAGUUGCGCCCAAACCCAUUAGGCUAAGGGCACGUCUGCCUGGGCGUCACGCAUCACGUCGCCC
rnacentral:rRNA from 2 species